AAAUGUUCCCUAAAAGAAUUGUGGGAAAUUGCACAAUUUCUCGCUGAUAAAUGUGCAGCCUUUUCCUCAAAUAUUUUGAACAUCUGAAAAACAUCCUUCAGUUGAGAUUUUGAAAAGAAUGCCUCGAAGACGGACGCCAUUGAAGUUCAGCAUGGAAUAGUAAAAGGGUUGGCAAAAUGCUCAUCAAGGUCCAGUACCGUGGACUAAAAAAGUACCUCAAACUGCAGCCUGGUUUUUCUUAUGAAAGUUUCAUUGAAGAAGAAUUUGUGCCAGCAGGUUCUUCUCCUCUAAAUUCUUCACUUUUCUGAAGUGAUAUGGAGAGGUCCUCUUCAAACAAGGGGCAUCAAUCUCCUGGUGCAGGAGAGAACACCUCUGCCAUAGGGGAUGCAGCAGAAAAGGCCAAAUGGAUGGUCCAGGAGGUUCUGGAGAAGAGUUCAGGGGGAGAGGAAACAAUGGAGGAGUAUAAGAGAUUGAGCACCUUGACACACUGCACAAGACGGCAUCAUAUCCUGGUCAGCCACAUUGUUGAAAUGCAUGGGAACUCUGGAUCUCAUUCAUAGUCAGCAUUGGGUCCUUGGU